rnacentral:rRNA from 1 species
CUCAGGAUGAACGCUGGCGGCGUGCUUAACACAUGCAAGUCGAACGAUGACCCGGUGCUUGCACCGGUGAUUAGUGGCGAACGGGUGAGUAACACGUGAGUAACCUGCCCUUGACUCUGGGAUAAGCCUGGGAAACUGGGUCUAAUACCGGAUAUGACUCCUCAUCGCAUGGUGGGGGGUGGAAAGCUUUUUGUGGUUUUGGAUGGACUCGCGGCCUAUCAGCUUGUUGGUGAGGUAAUGGCUUACCAAGGCGACGACGGGUAGCCGGCCUGAGAGGGUGACCGGCCACACUGGGACUGAGACACGGCCCAGACUCCUACGGGAGGCAGCAGUGGGGAAUAUUGCACAAUGGGCGCAAGCCUGAUGCAGCGACGCCGCGUGAGGGAUGACGGCCUUCGGGUUGUAAACCUCUUUCAGUAGGGAAGAAGCGAAAGUGACGGUACCUGCAGAAGAAGCGCCGGCUAACUACGUGCCAGCAGCCGCGGUAAUACGUAGGGCGCAAGCGUUAUCCGGAAUUAUUGGGCGUAAAGAGCUCGUAGGCGGUUUGUCGCGUCUGCCGUGAAAGUCCGGGGCUCAACUCCGGAUCUGCGGUGGGUACGGGCAGACUAGAGUGAUGUAGGGGAGACUGGAAUUCCUGGUGUAGCGGUGAAAUGCGCAGAUAUCAGGAGGAACACCGAUGGCGAAGGCAGGUCUCUGGGCAUUAACUGACGCUGAGGAGCGAAAGCAUGGGGAGCGAACAGGAUUAGAUACCCUGGUAGUCCAUGCCGUAAACGUUGGGC